rnacentral:rRNA from 1 species
UACGUAGGGUGCGAGCGUUAAUCGGAAUUACUGGGCGUAAAGCGUGCGCAGGCGGUUUUGUAAGCCAGAUGUGAAAGCCCCGGGCUCAACCUGGGAAUGGCAUUUGGGACUGCAAGGCUGGAGUUUGGCAGAGGAGACUGGAAUUCCUGGUGUAGCAGUGAAAUGCGUAGAUAUCAGGAGGAAUACCGAUGGCGAAGGCAGGUCUCUGGGCUAUAACUGACGCUCAUGCACGAAAGCGUGGGGAGCAACAGGAUUAGAGUACCCGUGG